rfam:Schistosoma mattheei strain Denwood, Zambia genome assembly, scaffold: SMTD_scaffold0012574
AUCCAUAUGACGAGUCCCAAAUAGAGUGAAACGCGCAUCCUGGAU